rnacentral:ncRNA from 2 species
CUUCACUUGUCGGAGAGCCAUUUGGCUGAGACCGUUUAUUCGGGAUCCGUAGAACCUGAUCAGGCUAAGACCUGCGUAGGGAACAAGAGAAGAUCAUUG